UUGGCCUCUUCUCUUCAUCAGAGAUCAGGCUCCCCCAUGAGGAGGCCACCUGGAUGGACCACCUAUUGGCUUCUGGUCUCAGCUAGGGGCCCGUCUUCAAUGUGCCAGGAAAGGCACACCCCCUACUGAGAUCCAAGGCCAGUAAGACAGACCACUCCAGAUCCCUUACUCUCAGUGACUACAAACCUGCUGAAUGGACAAAGGUUCCCCUCCAUGUGAAGACUCCAUCCUGAGCCCUCCCACCCCAUGCCACCCCCACCCAGGCUCAGAGGAAGGACACAGGAGGUUGCAAGUGGUUGGAAGGCAGUGUGGGUGCAGUGGAGGGGAGGGGAGCCUCGUCUUCCCCUGACUUCUGCUCAGGGACCCCCAGGAAACAUGCACGGCUAUUAACCAGAGGGAGCUGCUGAUGCAAAUCAGCCCGGAUGGCCCUAUAUGUUGUGAGUGGCAGGCACUAACCGUCUGCAUGACAAACCUCCUACAAGAUGCCGGCUAAACUGCCCUUUUGUGCCAAUUAAAGAUUCUCCAGAACACAAAGAUUACACACCAUUCUGCGGUGCUGACAACAAUAAAACAAUUUUAAAGGCUAUUCA